AAGAGGUCAACAAAUCCUCCAUUUUUGGCAUGCGGCGCACAACGGGAAUGCGAGUAGUGCUAUUGGCCGGUGCCUGCCCCGCUUUUCGGCGAGCUAGGCGGGCACAAAGUGAUAGCAGCGGCCGAGGCGGCCCGGUGGAGCAGGAGGCACCUUGCGGGGAGAAGAUUACAGAGACAGAGAGAUGCUUCAGAUGACUGACUGACUGACUACACAGAUGGUGUUGGCACAAUCUAAGCUUCCUUAAUGAAAGACUGCUGGCAGGAGAUGGACUAUAUCUCAUGAGGACUGAGAAAAACAUUUGGCAGAAGCCGGAUGAACCUGAUCAAGAGCAUUUUUAAACUAAACACUGUUUACUCCUACCAAAACCCCCAAGGUGAAAUAUGAAUUGACAGAAUCUCUUUUCCCAGCUGGAAGGAUUUCUCCAUCACCUCCUGCUCCAGAUGUCAGAAUCCCUUCAUCACUAUUACGGCCAUCAAAUUUUGGACUGCAGACUUAAUUUUCAAUCUUGCUCUGAACACACACCUCACAGUCACUAUAAGACACUUGUAUGCAUCUCUUCAUCCAAUAAAAGAUUCUGAUUUGCAUGGCUAA